UGAUGGCGACCGGCGCACGGGUGAGUAACACGUAUCCAACCUGCCGAUAACUCGGGGAUAGCCUUUCGAAAGAAAGAUUAAUACCCGAUGGUAUAAUCAGACCGCAUGGUUUGAUUAUUAAAGAAUUUCGGUUAUCGAUGGGGAUGCGUUCCAUUAGGCAGUUGGUGAGGUAACGGCUCACCAAACCUUCGAUGGAUAGGGGUUCUGAGAGGAAGGUCCCCCACAUUGGAACUGAGACACGGUCCAA
rnacentral:rRNA from 1 species